AACGCACAUUGCGCCCGCUGGUAUUCCGGCGGGCAUGCCUGUUCGAGCGUCAUUUCAACCCUCAAGCCCUCGGGUUUGGUGUUGGGGAUCGGCUCUGCCUUCUGGCGGUGCCGCCCCCGAAAUACAUUGGCGGUCUCGCUGCAGCCUCCAUUGCGUAGUAGCUAACACCUCGCAACUGGAACGCGGCGCGGCCAUGCCGUAAAACCCCAACUUCUGAAUGUUGACCUCGGAUCAGGUAGGAAUACCCGCUGAACUUAA
rnacentral:misc_RNA from 5 species